AACGCACAUUGCGCCCUUUGGUAUUCCAAAGGGCAUGCCUGUUCGAGCGUCAUUUGUACCCUCAAGCUUUGCUUGGUGUUGGGCGUCUUUGUCUCCAGCUUGCUGGAGACUCGCCUUAAAGUCAUUGGCAGCCGGCCUACUGGUUUCGGAGCGCAGCACAAGUCGCGCUCUUCAUCCAGCCAAGGUCAGCGUCCAGCAAGCCUUUUUUCAACCUUUGACCUCGGAUCAGGUAGGGAUACCCGCUGAACUUAA
rnacentral:misc_RNA from 1 species